rnacentral:lncRNA from 1 species
GAAAUAACCAAUCAUAUAACACCCAAUCUUGACGAAAAGAAACUCUUCGGUUACUGAGUUACAUGAUGUCGUUUGGAAGAGACUCUUCGAUUCCUGAGAUAUAUGUUUGAACAAAAAAAAAAAAAAAUCACCCAUUACUCGUAGGAGAGUCGAACCCGGGUCGAUCAAAUGUUUCGGUAUCAUAGGUUUCGUGGUUUAGCCGCUAGGCUGAGGAGAAUCAUCUGUUAGUUGCUUCCACAUAAUUGAAUUUACCCAUACAAUUUAUAGUAUAAUACAUUGGAAAGAUCUUUGAUAGUUCGGAUGGGCUUCCGAUUGCGACAAAUGUGAUUCCUGAGAUAUAUGUUUGAACAAAAAAAAAAAAAUCACCCAUUACUCGUAGGAGAGUCGAACCCGGGUCGAUCAAAUGUUUCGGUAUCAUAGGUUUCGUGGUUUAGCCGCUAGGCUGAGGAGAAUCAUCUGUUAGUUGCUUCCACAUAAUUGAAUUUACCCAUACAAUUUAUAGUAUAAUACAUUGGAAAGAUCUUUGAUAGUUCAGGAUGGGCUUCCGAUUGCGACAAAUGUGAUUCCUGAGAUAUAUGUUUGAACAAAAAAAAAAAAAAAAUCACCCAUUACUCGUAGGAGAGUCGAACCCGGGUCGAUCAAUGUUUCGGUAUCAUAGGUUUCGUGGUUUAGCCGCUAGGCUGAGGAGAAUCAUCUGUUAGUUGCUUC